GUUCUAGUCAACAAUCAUUUACCUACGUCAAUAUAACCGUUUCACUUGCUUCUCACACUUCACUCCUCUUUGAAAGCCCUCUGCUACUCACACCUUCCAAUUUCCAUGGUUCAUUUCAAAUGACAAAUAUCACAUCGCGUCUCUCUACUGAAAUUUAGGGUUUCUAUCUCUAUGGCAGUGCUACUUCUAUUACUAUUACUCACUUAGCACUCUACAUUAAUUAGAAUAAAGCUUCAAGGCUUGAGAAGCGAUAUGAGUGGAAGUGGCACAAAGCGCUAUUCAAAGUGGGAUUUGAGAGAUGAACCUGAAUAUGCACAUGAUAGUAAGCAAGUGUGGUCUGGGUCGUCCUCUGCAGAUAUUGCUGGCAAUAAUAGUUCAAAGUCAUCCUAUAUGGAAAGAAAUGAUAGGUUAAAACCUAGACUGGGAUUUUCAAGUAAUGAACCUUUUUCUAGAGGCAGAGGUUCAAAUAAGGAUGAUAUUUUAAAUAAAGACUGCAGAGUCUCUGAUGCAACUAUUGCAGAUGGAAGUCACAGCAUGAAGAUGUCUCCAGGGUUUGAGGAAAGGAAACACAAUAGACAUAGUCAAUCCCCAAAAAAUGGUCUCAGAAGGCCUGUCAGGUUUGUCUCUUUCACCCUAUUUUUGAAAACUGUAGAAAAGUUUAAUCAAUGGUUGUUUAUGAGAAACUUAUUUUAUAAACAAUUCUGCCAUGCAUAUUAUUAUAUGCUAACAUUUUGUAAAUAUGCUCUUAUGUUUCUAUGAAGCUUUUGCACUUCAAACGAGGAGCUGUGUGCACUCAUGGAAUGCUCUAACACCUCUGAGUUCUGAUUAAUACUGUUCAGAAUCUAAAUUUAUCACUUCCCAGAUACUUUUUUUACAUUUUGAGACACAUUUCAACUUUAUCUUAGUGAUAAUCUUCCAUUUUCUUGAUAUAUUUUCGAUGAUCUUGUGAUGUUUAAGUGCUUUUAACUUGACAAUUUAUGCAAUCUCUACUAGUCGUUUACUCCUAUAUUUAAACUUUCAGAUUCUUGAGAAAAGCUAAGAAGCUGAGGUUUUGGGUUUGUCAGUAAAGUUGCACAUAGCAUGGUUGGGAUUUUGCCUAAUAGGAUGUAUCAAUGUCAUGUUUCAACCUUUUGUUGCAGAUUGUGCUGUGUCUAAUAUUCUUAUGUCUGUUUUCUUUGUUCUCAAGAACUUCUUUCUUUAUGGGUACAUAAUUUGAAGGCCAUCUUAGUAUUUUUUGACUGCUUUAUUUUAUUAUAUCUUUAACAGCAAGGUUGCUAUUAUUUCAAAUAAUAUCACCUUUCCCCUAAGAAACUAAAGAUCUUUGUCAUGGCUGUGUGUGCAUAAUUUCCCAGAUGCAGUUGGUGUUAUUAAUUGUGUACCUUUUUUGGAUGAUGCCAUGUCUAGGAGUAGUAGGAGCAGGAGCCCUGCAUGUGGUCUUAGGUUAGAUUCAGGAGUCAAUGCCAGAAAUAGAACCGGAGCUGGAGGAUUGAUACAAACAUGUAGAGCUUUUGCCUCUGGGAAAUGCAGAAGAGGCAGUCAAUGCCAUUUCCUUCACCUCAAUGAUCAAAAUUAUGAGGAUAAUGGAGAAAUUAGACCCAGGCAAGAUGGAGCCCCCAGAUAUUCUGCCCCCCAUGAGAGUGAGGAUUAUUUCCUUAGGAGUGGAAGAUCUAAUGAAGGUUGUAUUAAUUUUUCAAAAGGAGGGUGUAGAAUGGGAGCAUCAUGCAAGUACGUGCAUCAUACAAAUUCUGAUGGCUUCAGUAAAGUUUCUGUGGAUGAAUCACUUAAAGAAAGGGAAAUUGGUAGGAGGUGCAUAGAGAAUUCCUUUGAGCAGGGCAGCAGG
rnacentral:lncRNA from 1 species